CCUACGGGAGGCAGCAGUGGGGAAUCUUGCGCAAUGGGCGAAAGCCUGACGCAGCAACGCCGCGUGCGGGAAGAAGGCUUUCGGGCUGUAAACCGCUUUCAGCAGGAACGAAAAUGACGGUACCUGCAGAAGAAGGAGCGGCCAACUAUGUGCCAGCAGCCGCGGUGAUACAUAGGCUUCAAGCGUUGUCCGGAUUUAUUGGGCGUAAAGAGUUCGUAGGCGGUCGAGUAAGUCGGGUGUGAAAAUUCUGGGCUCAACCCAGAGACGCCACCCGAUACUGCUUGACUUGAGUUCGAUAGGGGAGUGGGGAAUUCCUAGUGUAGCGGUGAAAUGCGCAGAUAUUAGGAGGAACACCGGUGGCGAAGGCGCCACUCUGGAUCGAUACUGACGCUGAGGAACGAAAGCAUGGGUAGCAAACAGGAUUAGAUACCCUGGUAGUCCAUGCCGUAAACGGUGGGCACUAGGUGUGGGUUUCUAUUUAACGAAAUCCGCGCCGUCGCUAACGCAUUAAGUGCCCCGCCUGGGGGAGGUACGGUCGCAGACUAAACUACAANAGAUAGACGGCGNGAGACGNGCCGACGACGACGACGAGGGAGGUAGG
rnacentral:rRNA from 1 species